rnacentral:rRNA from 1 species
UGGGGAAUAUUGCACAAUGGGGGAAACCCUGAUGCAGCGACGCCGCGUGAACGAAGAAGGUAUUCGUAUCGUAAAGUUCUGUCCUAUGGGAAGAUAAUGACAGUACCAUAGAAGAAAGCUCCGGCUAAAUACGUGCCAGCAGCCGCGGUAAUACGUAUGGAGCGGGCGUUGUCCGGAAUUAUUCGGCGUAAAGGGUACGCAGGCGGUUUAAUAAGUCGAAUGUUAAAGAUCGGGGCUCAACCCCGUAAAGCAUUGGAAACUGAUAAACUUGAGUAGUGGAGAGGAAAGUGGAAUUACUAGUGUAGUGGUGAAAUACGUAGAUAUUAGGAGGAAUACCAGUAGCGGAGGCGACUUUCUGGACACAAACUGACGCUGAGGUUCGAAAGCGUGGGGAGCAAACAGG